UCACAAGGAUAGUUCAGUUGGUAGAGCAUGAGGCUCUUAAUCUCAGCGCCAUGGGUUCAAGCCCCAAACUGGGCAAAA